CAGCCGGACCGGACGGUCGCUGUCGCCUUCACCGGCGGCAGAGGAAAGUCCGAACUCCGCAGAGCAGUGUGCCGGAUAACGUCCGGGAGGCUGGUCCGGGGUCCCCGACGCGCGCCGCUUUUGCGCGUGGCGGGGUGGCUCUAGAUCAGUCGACGGAAAGCGCCACAGAAAACAUACCGCCGAGCGAUCGGUAAGGGUGAAAAGGUGCGGUAAGAGCGCACCGCCCGUUUAGUAAUAAACGGGGCAGGGCAAACCCCACACGGAGCAAGACCAAAUAGGGGACCAGUCCGGGAGCAAUCCCGGCACGCGCUGGCUCGGCGCGGAUGAGUUCCGGGUAGGUCGCUAGAGCCGGGCAGUGAUGCGCGGCCCAGAGGAAUGACCGUCCCGCCCGCAAGGGCGGACAGAAUUCGGCUUACAGGUCCGGCUGCCAA
rnacentral:RNase_P_RNA from 1 species